UUUCGGCUCAGUCGGGAUGGCGCGACGCAACUGAGGGAUGGAUUUGAGAUUGUGGGGUCUGGAAUGGAUGGAAGUAAUUUAGAUGAGCCUGCUAAUUAUACGGCAAGAUAAUCGUGAUUUCUGGUGUUCCAGCCACUUGAGAAGCAGGAUUGUGGGGUCUGGAAUGGAUGCAAGUAAUUUAGAUGAGCCUGCUAAUUAUACGGCAAGAUAAUCGCCAUUCCUGGUGUCCCAGCCGCUUGAGAAGCAGAUGCUGCCUGGCCUGCUGAGUUCCUCCAGUGUUUUGCGUGUGUCAGCACCAUCCUUGUAAAUUUUCUCUACAUUCCUUCAACCUUAUUUUCAUCUUACCUGCAGUCCUGCCUACAGAUCCUGGUCUCCCGAUGCCCUGUUGGCGGUGGACCGGCCAUUUCCUAACUGGUGGACAGGGAUCUACUUGGCAUCACUAUCUGGGAGCAACGCACACAAAAUUCUGGAGGAAUUCAGCAGGUCAGGCAGCAUCUAUGGAAAUGAAUAAACUGUUGAUGUUUUGAGCCGAGAAAGGUUGAACACACAUAUUCUUGUGAGUUGCCCUGGAUUUCCAGCUCCUGUGGAAUCUCUUUAUCGAUAAGCAGGUGUGGUGAUAUCAGAACGUGAUCGGAGCAUGCAUAGAAAUGAUGGAAUGAUUGGGAAGCAUAGCAAGCAAAAGCAUGCAAAGCAUGGUUUUUUAUUACUGUUAAAUAAAAGUUCAAUUCUUCCAGAAUAUGAUUCAUUAUUAGUAACCCA